AAAUGCGAUAAGUAAUGUGAAUUGCAGAAUUCAGUGAAUCAUCGAAUCUUUGAACGCACCUUGCGCUCCUUGGUAUUCCUUGGAGCAUGCCUGUUUGAGUAUCAUGAAAUCUUCAAAGUAAAUCUUUUGUUAACUCAAUUGGUUUCUACUUUGGUAUUGGAGGUCUUUGCAGCUUCACACCUGCUCCUCUUUGUUCAUUAGCUGGAUCUCAGUGUUAUGCUUGGUUCCACUCGGCGUGAUAAGUUAUCUAUCGCUGAGGACACUGUAAAAGGUGGCCAAGGUAAAUGCAGAUGAACCGCUUCUAAUAGUCCAUUGACUUGGACAAUACUUUUAUGAUCUGAUCUCAAAUCAGGUAGGACUACCCGCUAAACUUAAGC
rnacentral:misc_RNA from 1 species